GGAGGCAGCGGUGGGGAAUUUUGGCCAAUGGGCGCAAGCUUAAUCUAGCCAUUCCGCGUGCAGGAUGAAGUCUUUCGGGUUGUAAAGUGUUUUUGUCCGGAAGGAAACGGCUUUUUUUAUUCGGGAGGGUUAAUGCCGGUACCGUAAGAAUAAGCCCCGGCUAAUUUCGUGCCGGGAGCCGCGGUUAUUCGUAGGGUGCAAGCGUUAUUCGGAAUUACUGGGCGUAAAGCGUGCGCAGGCGGUUAUUUAAGUCAGGUGUGAAAUCCCCGGGUUCAACUUGGGAACUGCAUUUGUGACUGCGUGGCUGGAGUACGGCAGAGGGGGGUGGAAUUCCGYGUGUAGCGGUGAAAUGCGUAGAUAUGCGGAGGAACCCCGAUGGCGAAGGGAAUCCCCUGGGCCUGUACUGCCGCUCGGGGAGGAAAGCGU
rnacentral:rRNA from 1 species